GAUGAACGCUAGCGGGAGGCUUAAUACAUGCAAGUCGAACGGUAAGGUCUCUUCGGAGAUACACGAGUGGCGCACGGGUGAGUAACGCGUACACAAUCUACCUAUAAGAGGGGGAUAGCCUCGGGAAACUGAGAAUAAUACCCCAUAGUAUUACAAAAUUGAUAAUUUAGUAAUUAAAGCUCCGGCGCUUAUAGAUGAGUGUGCGUCCGAUUAGCUAGUUGGUAAGGUAACGGCUUACCAAGGCGACGAUUGGUAGGGGGCGUGAGAGCGUGAACCCCCACACGGGUACUGAGACACGGACCCGACUCCUACGGGAGGCAGCAGUAAGGAAUAUUGGACAAUGGGGGCAACCCUGAUCCAGCCAUCCCGCGUGUAGGAAGACUGCCCUAUGGGUUGUAAACUACUUUUAGAUAGGAAGAAACGCCGUUAUUUAUAAUGGUUUGACGGUACUAUCAGAAUAAGCACCGGCUAACUCCG
rnacentral:rRNA from 1 species